UACGGGGGGAGCAAGCGUUGUUCGGAUUUACUGGGCGUAAAGGGCGCGUAGGCGGUCAGCACAAGUCAAUUGUGAAAUCUCCGAGCUUAACUCGGAAAGGUCAACUGAAACUGUGCGACUAGAGUGCGGAAGGGGCAACUGGAAUUCUUGGUGUAGCGGUGAAAUGCGUAGAUAUCAGGAGGAACACCAAUUGCGAAGGCAGCUCGCUGGGACGUAACUGACGCUGAGACGCGAAAGCGUGGGGAGCAAACAGG
rnacentral:rRNA from 1 species